rnacentral:rRNA from 1 species
UACGUAGGGGGCAAGCGUUGUCCGGAUUUAUUGGGCGUAAAGAGCGUGUAGGCGGCCAGGUAGGUCCGCUGUGAAAACUCGAGGCUCAACCUCGAGAUGUCGGCGGAAACCAUCUGGCUAGAGUCCGGAAGGGGAGAGUGGAAUUCCUGGUGUAGCGGUGAAAUGCGCAGAUAUCAGGAAGAACACCCGUGGCGAAGGCGGCUCUCUGGGACGGUACUGACGCUGAGACGCGAAAGCGUGGGGAGCGAACAGG